ACACCGGCAGCUCUAGUGGUAGCAGUUUUUAUUGGGCCUAAAGCGUCCGUAGCCGGUUUAAUAAGUCUCUGGUGAAAUCCUGUAGCUUAACUGUGGGAAUUGCUGGAGAUACUAUUAGACUUGAGACCGGGAGAGGUUAGAGGUACUCCCAGGGUAGAGGUGAAAUUCUGUAAUCCUGGGAGGACCGCCUGUUGCGAAGGCGUCUAACUGGAACGGUUCUGACGGUGAGGGACGAAAGUUAGGGGCGCGAACCGGAUUAGAUACCCGGGUAGUCCUAACUGUAAACGAUGCGGACUUGGUGUUGGGGUGGCUUUGAGCUGCUCCAGUGCCGAAGGGAAGCUGUUAAGUCCGCCGCCUGGGAAGUACGGUCGCAAGACUGAAACUUAAAGGAAUUGACGGGG
rnacentral:rRNA from 1 species